CGGGUGUAACUCAAUGGUAGAGUGCCAGCUUCCCAAGCUGGUUACGUGGGUUCGAUUCCCAUCACCC
rnacentral:tRNA from 1 species